UGCCCCGGGCUCAGUGGUGGCUCGCGAUGUGCUGCAGGUAGGGCUGGUGCCUGUUCGGCGUGUGGUGGAGCGUGCUCUUGAUGUGGGCUCUCUCCCUGCUCCUCUCAAUCAGCCAGUCAUCACCGCUCAGCCAUGUGCUGGCGCUGGGCAGCUGCGGCUCGGGGUCGGGCAGCUCCGGCUGGGCUCUCUGCGGGUGAGAGAAGGGCAUGAGAAGUAGAGGCUUGAGAGGGACACCAGGCCAAAAAACUGACCUUGCUGCUGAGACUGGAGAGCAAGGCUGCUGCUUGGGGCUCCGGCCUUGUCUAAACAGGGCACUCCAGCUCCUGGUGUAGCAGCACUAAACCCCUAGAUCCUCAGAGCUCCAGUGAGUGCAGUACAGCUUUGCCUGUUCACACACGCUGAGAAUUUGGACACUAACACAGCCAGGCAAACACCAAGGUAGACAAGCACAUUAUCUCAGGGACAGGGCAGCCCAGAGGUCUCUGACUCAGCUGUUUCCCAGGGUCGGAAUAGUUUCUUUUCACAUGAGGCCAUAUAGCACCCAACAGCCCCAUUUGAAUGGACAUUAAUUAGCAUCUGUAUCUCCAGUAGGGACAAGGAAAGCUUCAGCCAGGCCACCAAUCAGGACAAAGAGGAGGGAAGGAGGUAGUCCCCGCUGAGCCAGUCAAGACUCAAGAGCGCCUCAUCUGCAGGAGCGCUGAGCCCUGCGGCCCGAGGUCUCAUCUGCCAGAGGUCCGAAGAAAGACACCGCCCAGGACUCCACUCGCUCACAGAUUAAUUUUAUUCAGACAAACCCAAAAUAGAAAGAAAAAGCAGCAGCACAGUGACUCUGAGACAAGGUAACAAAGUGAACCCAGGGUUACUGGAUCUGAGCAUCGCUGUGGGCAGGGCAAGCUUGGAGAACAGGGCACCCCCCAGCUCUGCGGGACUCUGGGUAAAGAGGCAUUUGGCGUUAAUGGGAAUAAAAAAAUCCCCCUGCAUCUAAGAGCAAUGCUUUUAAAACAGCCCUGACAAACCAGGGUGGGAGAAGAGCGCUCUGCUUCCUCGCUUUGCUGCAGCUACUGCCCCUGCUCCAAACGCCUUCCCAUCUGCUCAAAAUGUCAGUGGUUUUGGCUAAAGAAAGCCUCUGCAAAGGGAAGCUGACACACACACACACACCUGCUAAUUCCUGCUCGGCCACUUGCUGCUGAGGACAAGUUGAAAGAGAGUGGGCCCCAUUACCCCUGCCCCUUGCACAGUUAUUUGCACCAAUGCAAAGUGGGAAUGAAUCGUUACUGGCUUCACUGAAUAGCGUUUUGCAUCCAUUUGAAGCCAGGGCAGCAGAGAAUCGGACUCAAUGCACGUCCCAGCAGGGCUGCGUGUGUGUCUCCCAGGCAGAGAGAAAGGGGAAGGAACCCACUAGCGUGUGUCUGGGAGGAAGGUAGUUCAGGCCUUGUUCUGGUGUCUGUGUUGGUCUGGACACUGAAAGUGGCGUGGCUGGAGUGAGAUGCCAUGUCCACAAGGCCUAGAUACCACUUACAUCCUGCUUCAGCCUUUGGGCUGAAGAGGA